UCACUGACAAGUAUUCAGCUGUUUACAGUUACUCCUAAGCGGUGUAAAGCGUAUUUAAUCUCCAUUACUUCUGACAUUUUGCAGAGGCAACACACGUGUGUUCGUUUUCCCUAACCCUAACCCUAACCCUAAUUGACUUGCUCCUUCACUCAAAAACCAUGCCUUGUGCCUAUAAUAGAAAGGUUUAUUAGCUACUGCCAAUAUGCUUCAGCCAUUUUUUGACAAGGAAAUAAUAAUUUUAUCACCGCCGCGAAUCGUUUGUUUACAUAGUCAGCACUUAAUUUUUACGGCUGAAUGGACGUCAGUCAUUGGUUGAAAUUACAGAAAUACGACAACCUUAACAUGAAAUAACUUGCGAUGUACGUUUUUUUGUUAAGAAGACUAAGAGAAAAAGAUGUUUUAUAUGACACAUUCUACCAGUGUCCCAAGUUUCAAAGUGUUUCGUUAAGAAAAUACUGGUGCCCCCGUUUUGAACAAGAUCCGAAUCUACUGCUACUACUCCUACUGCUGUAUGCUUGUUUUGGUGUUACUAAUACUACGAAAACAACAAAUACACCGACAUUUACAAAAAGUUAUUCACCUGUGAAGGUAUUUUAGCCACGAACGUAUUUAUAAGUAAGUAUUUUCAUUUGGAGACUUCUACUAUCACCAACUUAACAAGUUAAUCAGCAGUGAUGCAAUGAUGGAGCUAUGUGUCAUUGUUAGAAACCAAUUCCUUUCUAACAAGAAGAAUUUAGAUAAAGACGGAAGAGAACAUAUAUGAACGCAUAUAUACAUAUUUACAUGCAUGCAUGCAUACAUGCAUACAUACAUACAAAAGUAGAUAUAGAGUAACGAAAGAACAGUUGUCCGAUACUUCAAGUUACCGAUGUCUGAAGGUGAAACACGCUGAAAUAUUCAACAGUACGUUUUGGAUUUCUUUGAAAAGAUCUUGUGCGUUUGAAUAGACAAAUCACAAGGUAGAAAGAUAUACCAAGAAACAAGCGAGUAAGAAGUUAAAAACAAAACAACAAUCACAACAACCUCACCAACAACAAAAUAACUGCAGUUCAGUAUUUAUCAGAGAAAGUUGAUAAUCUUAAGCGAUUGUUAGAAAUUAUACAUAAGAUGGAUGCGGAGAAUAAUAAAAUGCCAUUCGAUGGUUGGUGGCUACCACCAAACGUAACCACCAAAGUGAAUGUAGAAACAAUAGAAUUCUCUUGUGCCAUUGGAGGAUUUUUAUUGCUAAGCAUUUUGGUACUUUUUUGUAAAUGUUACAUGUUCCAUCGUCGCAAGAAACAAUCAUCUUCGCCACCACCUGAACCUAGUCACGAUACCAACUCAGUUCCUAUAGUAGUACCAUCAAUCAGUAUUGCCAUUAUAUCGAAACCGACUUUGGAGACAGUAGAAAAUGGUGAAGAGUACUACUUGGCAGCAGCUUGAAAAAACAAUGCUUUAUUCAAAGAGGAAAACAGAACAAAAGACGAAGCAAAUUCAAACGAUAGCACUGCGGGUCCUUGUCAAUCAGCAAUGAACAGCUGCCGAAUUUACUUUUGCUGGCCAUGGUGCCACAAUUCAAAAUGAAAUGAGAGAAUACGAAAUGACACUGCAAAAGCCAAAUCUUUUAAACUUUAUAUAUGUUAUGAAAAGACUAACAUUACGGGUUUACAAUAUUCUUAAUUUUAGUUCUAACGUUAACCCAUGUUCAUAAAGACCUCAUUGUGGAAGGCAUUCACCUAGCGGUCAAUACCAAAGAGAAGGCUGACUUCAACGGGUGAUCGACUGUUGCAUAUCAAAUAUAACACUCAAAGCUAAUCGAAUAUACCUCAAAUACCAAAACUGCUCAAAAUAUUUGAGGUCCAGUACUUGGACAGCUCCGCGUUGUUUAUUCCAGGCCUGCGGAGGAACCUGACUUUAGUAUAUUUGGGUAUCUGGAAACACUCGUUGAAUAUACAAUGUACCACUGCUUACAACGGUGAGUAGUACAUGAUUCAUGUUAAUUGUAAAUACAGCUUUGUAAAUUGCACUAUUGUGAAUUUUAAUUAGCGAAUCUACAAGGGUGUCAAGCAACUAAGUGAAACUGGUAAAUUGUCGGUAUUUUCUCACCGACAUCAUAGUAUGUCAAUGGUUUUCUGAAGAUACCGCAAUGUAAAAUGGUUUAGUGCAGCAAGCACUACAGAACUGUAAAAGUCGAUGAGUAUCUAAUUAACUUGUGCUGUAUUCAAAGCCUCUCACGAGGGUUAAGGUUUCACUGGUUCCAACUCGAAAUCAGUUAGAUUUCAUCAAGAACAUUCAUUUAACUUAAUCGUUCAUCUGACAAAUGAUGCGUUAAAUCACCUGAUUACUCUAUAUUGUAAUAUAUUCAAUUUACCAAAUAAGCAUUAAAAUUCUUAAUAUUAAAUAAAUUCAUGUCAUAUAAUAAAAAACGGAUUCUAACAUUACAGGUGGAGCCUUCCUUUGGAAAAGUGUUAAAUAGUUAUACAUUUAGAUGCACGGUACGUGCUUCAUUUCCUAAACCCACCCCACGAGAAAGAACCCUGUCUGUGAUGUAACAAUAUAAUUUUAUACACGUUCCACACAUUUUCUUUUAUUUCUCAGGAGAAGGCCACUUCCAAAAAUGUUACAAUUCUCUUCUCUUGAUUGUAUGCAGAACUCAUUAAAUGACUUAAUAUAAAUAUUACGAAUUUGAUUGACCGUUUUGCUGACAUCAACCCUGAAUACUUUCUUUGCAUUAUAGUUUUAUACAUACAUAUAUAUAUAUAUAUAUAUAUAUAUAUAUAUUUACAAGAAAAUUAUAUAACUCAGAUACUGUCCAGUUUCUAUAUUGUCUUAUUAUUUUACUUGUCUGAGUAUCGAUGCUGAUGUUUCACAAAAUAUUGAAGGUAGAAUAUCCAAAUAUUUUACCGAUAAUUACUAAGCGACAUAUCAAAAACAUAAAAACCAAAAGGAACUUGUUAUUUUCGAAACUUGUAAUUUUGUUAUAUUAUUUUAAUGUUUACUGAGCGAGCUACGAAUUAUAUGAUAAUAACAUCGUGUACAGAGAAAACAAAACGUAAUGGAAGUAUAUUUACGUAUAUCGACAUCAUAGAUUCUGGUAUGAGUAGCUUUGAGUUAAUAGUGCAAAAUACACACUUGCAAAGAAAAAAAUUGUCUUGACUUUUUGGUUGAGUCAAAAAUUUCUUUUAGCAUAAAACUGGAUUGGAAGGAUGGUGCACAGUGAAAUUAUCCCUUCGUAUUAUAUUUUGUUGUACUUACAAUAUUUUAACUUUGUGGUAAAAUAAAUGGUUUUAAUACAAGGAUAUUAAAAA